rnacentral:rRNA from 1 species
CCUACGGGAGGCAGCAGUGAGGAAUAUUGGUCAAUGGACGAGAGUCUGAACCAGCCAAGUAGCGUGAAGGAUGACUGCCCUAUGGGUUGUAAACUUCUUUUAUAUGGGAAUAAAAUGUUCCACGUGUGGGAUUUUGUAUGUACCAUAUGAAUAAGGAUCGGCUAACUCCGUGCCAGCAGCCGCGGUAAUACGGAGGAUCCGAGCGUUAUCCGGAUUUAUUGGGGUUAAAGGGAGCGUAGGUGGAUUGUUAAGUCAGUUGGGAAAGUUUGGGGCUUAACCGUAAAAUUGCAGUUGAAACUGGCAGUCUUGAGUACAGUAGAGGUGGGCGGAAUUCGUGGUGUAGCGGUGAAAUGCUUAGAUAUCACGAAGAACUCCGAUUGCGAAGGCAGCUCACUGGACUACAACUGACACUGAGGCUCGAAAGUGUGGGUAUCAAACAGGAUUAGAUACCCCGGUAGUC